rnacentral:rRNA from 1 species
AUUGAACGCUAGCGGGAUGCCUUACACAUGCAAGUCGAACGGAGUGGCGAACGGGUGAGUAAUGUAUCGGAACGUGCCCAGUAGCGGGGGAUAACUACGCGAAAGCGUAGCUAAUACCGCAUACUAUUGGAGCGGCCGAUACCGGAUUAGCUAGUUGGUGGGGUAACGGCUCACCCAGGCGACGAUCCCUAGCCGGGUUGAGAGGACGACCAGCCACAACGGGAAUGGGAACAGGCCCAGACCCCCAAGGGAGGGCGGCGGGGGGGAGUUUGGGAAAGGGGGGAAACCCUGAUCCAGCCAUCCCGCGUGUGCGAUGAAGGCCUUCGGGUUGUAAAGCACUUUUGGCAGGAAAGCGGUACCUGCAGAAUAAGCACCGGCUAACUACGUGCCAGCAGCCGCGGUAAUAC